UACGGAGGGUGCAAGCGUUAUCCGGAUUCACUGGGUUUAAAGGGUGCGUAGGAGGGCAGGUAAGUCAGUGGUGAAAUCUCCGAGCUUAACUCGGAACUGCCGUUGAUACUAUCUGUCUUGAAUACCGUGGAGGUGAGCGGAAUAUGUCAUGUAGCGGUGAAAUGCUUAGAUAUGACAUAGAACACCAAUUGCGAAGGCAGCUCACUACACGAGCAUUGACUCUGAGGCACGAAAGCGUGGGGAGUCAAACAGGA
rnacentral:rRNA from 1 species